AAUCAACGCUGGCGGCGUGCCUCAGACAUGCAAGUCGAACGAUUAAACUCGCCUUCGGGUGAGAUAUAAAGUGGCGCACGGGUGAGUAACACGUAGGUAAUGUACCUUUGGGUGGGGAAUAACUUAGGGAAACUUAAGCUAAUACCGCAUAAUGCAGCGGCUCCUUCGGGAGACAGUUGUUAAAGAUUUAUCGCCUAAAGAGCAGCCUGCGGCAGAUUAGCUAGUUGGUAAGGUAACGGCUUACCAAGGCUACGAUCUGUAUCCGACCUGAGAGGGUGGUCGGACACACUGACACUGAAUAACGGGUCAGACUCCUACGGGAGGCAGCAGUCGGGAAUUUUGGGCAAUGGGCGAAAGCCUGACCCAGCAACGCCGCGUGAAGGAUGAAGUCUUUCGGGAUGUAAACUUCGUAAGAAUAGGAAGAAUAAAUGACGGUACUAUUUGUAAGGUCCGGCUAACUACGUGC
rnacentral:rRNA from 1 species